rnacentral:lncRNA from 1 species
GUCAGAACCGCACUCUUCUGUUUGAGACUCAAAAAUAUCCAAUGGUCCAUUUGUUACAAAAAAGUGAUAACUCCUUUAACCAGGAACUGUUGAAAAGCAUGGUGAAAAGCAUUAAAAUGAACGAUGUCUAUGGACCCAUGAGUCAGAUUUUAGAGACCCUGAGUAAGUGUCCACACUUCAAAAGACAGCGGAGUUUAUAUAGAGAAAUAUUAUUUCUCUCACUUGUGGCACUGGGAAGAGAAAACAUUGAUAUAGGUAACUCAAUGUCAUUAAUACCAUAGUUACAAGCUGUACAAAAACUGUACAAAAUACAAUACACAGUAUAUUGUAGCUUUU